UGCGUAGGGAGCAAGCGUUGUCCGGAAUCAUUGGGCGUAAAGCGCGCGUAGGUGGCUCUAUAAGUCCGUUGUGAAAGUCAAAGGCUCAACCUUUGAAAGCCGAUGGAUACUGUGGAGCUAGAGUACGGAAGAGGCGAGUGGAAUUCCUGGUGUAGCGGUGGAAUGCGCAGAUAUCAGGAGGAACACCAAUAGCGAAGGCAGCUCGCUGGGACGUUACUGACACUGAGGCGCGAAAGCGUGGGGAGCGAACAGG
rnacentral:rRNA from 1 species